UGGUAUGAGCUUUUGUGUGCACGCACACUUCUUCAGAUAUGCACACUUUGUAUCUGAAGAAGUGUGCAUGCACACAAAAGCUCAUACCA